rnacentral:misc_RNA from 1 species
GAAAUGCGAUAAGUAAUGUGAAUUGCAGAAUUCAGUGAAUCAUCGAAUCAUUGAACGUACCUUGCGCUCCUUGGUAUUCCGAGGAGCAUGCCUGUUUGAGUGUCAUGGAAUUCUCAACUCUAUUUGCUUUUGUGAAUAGAGCUUGGAUUUGGAGGUUUAUUGCUGGUACUUGUGAUCGGCUCCUCUUGAAUGCAUUAGCUCGAACCUUUGCGGAUCAGCUAUCGGUGUGAUAAUUGUCUACGCCGUUGCAGUGAAGCAUAUCAAUGGGCUCGGCUUCCAAUCGUCCUUUACUGGACAAUGACUUUGACCUUUGACCUCAAAUCAGGUAGGAUUACCCGCUGAACUUAAGC